GAUGAACGCUGGCGGCGUGCCUAAUACAUGCAAGUCGAGCGAACAGAUGAGGAGCUUGCUUCUCUGACGUUAGCGGCGGACGGGUGAGUAACACGUGGAUAACCUACCUAUAAGACUGGGAUAACUUCGGGAAACCGGAGCUAAUACCGGAUGAUAUUUUGAACCGCAUGGUUCAAUAGUGAAAGACGGUUUUGCUGUCACUUAUAGAUGGAUCCGCGCCGCAUUAGCUAGUUGGUAAGGUAACGGCUUACCAAGGCAACGAUGCGUAGCCGACCUGAGAGGGUGAUCGGCCACACUGGAACUGAGACACGGUCCAGACUCCUACGGGAGGCAGCAGUAGGGAAUCUUCCGCAAUGGGCGAAAGCCUGACGGAGCAACGCCGCGUGAGUGAUGAAGGUCUUCGGAUCGUAAAACUCUGUUAUUAGGGAAGAACAAAUGUGUAAGUAACUAUGCACGUCUUGACGGUACCUAAUCAGAAAGCCACGGCUAACUACGUG
rnacentral:rRNA from 1 species